rnacentral:lncRNA from 1 species
AGUCCUCCCCCCGGCAGAUUGUAUCUCAAUCGAGGAUGUGCUCACUAGCUAGCUAGCUAGCUCAUGCUGAUCCUCAAUCUUCAUCCUCAACUAUGUCAUGAUAUUACUUAUAAAUGCGAGUGUAUUAGAGUUUAGUGAAAAGCUUUCCUUGACUCAUGCAAUACUUAGGAUUAGAUUUUAGCCUUAAGAAAAUUAUCCCUAAGUUUUCACACUAUUCAUUGAGUUAUAUGGCGGGGCCAAAAAAUUUAUUUUAAGUUUACUUAAUUAUACACCAAAUUGUAGUAUUAGAAUUAUCUCUACCAAAAUAAACCAAUCGCGUGUUUUUAUCCAACUGCCAAGUAGAUCCUAAAGGUAUGUAUAUAUUUGUGCUUCAGCAUAAUAUUGGAGGCACAACAACUGUAUUUAUAUAAUAUGUACCCUUUUUUUUAAUGAAUUAUAUUACAAUGUACUAAUAUGUCUAUAUCGAAAAGUUUGGAAAUCUAAGCUACUAAUCAACUUAUAAGGGUUGCCUAUCCAAAAGAAUAAAAUAUAGCAUGGACAAUUUUAGAAUUUCAGUUGUUUUAGGUCUAUCUUAUACUUGUCAUCUUAAUUGGAGCCAAUUAGGUAUGUUUUAGGUUCUUCAUUUUAAGUUUGAUUGUGAGUCUAUUUUUUGGCAUAAAUUUACUUAGAAAAGUGUAUUAUUCUAUUAUAAAUAUGGAGGUCUUAUUAUUACUAUGUCAAUAAAUUAUUAAAUUAAUAAAAUCCUUCCUUAUAUUACUAUAACAGGAGUUUUAUCUUCCAUCUUAUGUGUCGACCAUUAUUUUAAAAUUUCACAACAAUGCGAGUCUAAGGACUUCGCUUUAGAUUAUAGCAUCAUUUAGUUCUCAUUGUGUCUGGAACUAUUGCACCUCUCUCCCCAAAGUUUAAUUAACUAAUUUUAUUUUUCCUUCUGCUAUCUAACUACAUCAGCACCCUAAACCCAAACAUGUAGUUUAAAAUUGUGUGUAGUUUGUGGGCUACUAAAGGUUAAAGUAUUUUUAUUUCAAUAUUAUUAAAAUUAAUAUCAAAAUUGUUUUGUUUCAUUAAGUAAUGCCUAUAUCAUCCAAAAGCUUAUCUACGUCCUAUAUAAUGUCAUAUUCAUCAUGUAAGGACUAAAAAAUGAACUAAAAAAUUAUUCAAAAUCGACAUUCUCUUAUUAAAUACCACAUCUCUCAUAACUCCUUAUUUGAAAUACACCUUGGAUAAGUUUAAAAAAAUUAUUGCAACUUUUUUAUGUUCUAUUUUUUUGUUUUUGAAUACUUUUUUUAAAUUUGAUACAACUUGUACAUGAUACAAUACGGAAUUUAUAAAAAAAAAAUCUAAAUGCAUUUACAUAUAAUCAAGAAAAUUUAUUAUUACCAGUACAAAAUUUCACUCACACUAAUAUUUAAAAAAAAAAUUAUUUCUACUCACAAACGUUUUAAUCCGCAAACAUAGUUGUGCCAUCAACAAAGUUGAAGAUACAAGCCUCGUAUUUACUUUUUGUGUACUUAUAAAAAACUAAAAUAAAUCGAUUUUAAACUGAACCGGUUUGGCUAGGGGGAGAUAUCUAGAGAUGGUCAAUAGGUCGGGCUAGCCCACCAAUGUAAGGUCCAUAUAUGCUCGUGCCCGUGCUGUGCCUAAAUUUUUUAUACUUAGGCUCAACCCCGCACGUGCAGUGCCGUACCUAAGAAAAAAAAAUCCAAUAAAUUUUUUUUUUUUUAAGAGUACAUGCUAAGCUGUUAACAUACUUUUUUUAAAUAUAUGUAUUUUUCUUAGGUCUAUAUUUUUAUUCAAAUUUAAUAGAAUCGAAAAUUCAAAACUCAAGUCCAUAUUUAAUAAUAAUAAACUAAUAAUAAUAAGAAAAUAUAAUAUUAAUUACUAAGUUUGAUUUUAUAGUAUUAGAAAUUCUUUUAAUACUUAACAACAACAAUAAUAAUAAAUUUUUCUUAAGGGUUAACUUAAUUGUUAACUUGGGAUUACAUAGAGUCAUGAUUCAUAGUUCACAAUAAUAUUAAUCCAUAUUUAUAAAAUCAUAAUAUUUAUAUUUUUAUUCAUUAAAAUCAUGAUAUCAAUUAUUUAUUUAAUAAAUUAUAAAUAUAAAUCAAUUAUAACUUUUUUUUAAACUAAGAAUUAAAUGAAUUUAAAAAAUUUAAUUUCAAAUUAUUUGUAAAAUUAUAAAAUUUUAAGUUUACUUUUAUUAAAAAAUAAAAUAUAUUUAUUACAAAUUUUUUUAUCAUACCAUAUUUAAUUCAUCUCUAAUUGUACCAUAUUUUUAAGAUCCACGUACCUAAAAUUUUAAUUUUAACUCAAUUUACGUACUGCGUGCGUGUCCUGCCGCACUGCAUACCCACCAAAACGUGCUAAUCACUUUCAGGACAAAAACUUUUUAUGACAUUAACUAGGAAGUCACUUUCUGGACAAAAACUUUUGAUGACAUUAAAUUUCGCCAUAAAUAUCGGCGUACAUAAGAGCAAUCUCCACCGUACAAACCCUCUAGUUGGAUCAGGGCCUCUCCUUUUAAUUUAUUUAUUUAAAAAAGAAAAAAAAUGAUACAAUUCGUAAUUGAAGCGCUAUAGUAAAGGGGAACUUGGGGAGAAGCUGGCUUCUUAGUUCUCACAAACAAGCUUGAAAAAGAAAUCAGUAGAGUGUACAGGGAAAAGAGAGGAAAGAACAUGGGAAGUAACGUGAUGGGAUUGGGAGGUGGUGCCUUAGCAGCGACCAUCAUAGUCAUGAUACUCUUCUUCGCCGCAAAUGAUCAAUCUUGUGCUGAUGCUGCUGCAGGCGUGAAUAAGAGCAACAGAACCAACAUGGCUAAUUUCCAUUUUGAUCACAAUGACAUGUUGUUUUCUGAGGAUGAUUCGGAAUUGCAAUUGGCUGCUGCUGUUCCAAGAACUACCACUCUGAACGUAGGAAUCGCGGCUAAGCAAGUAAUCGAUUGUGCGAGACCUGGUCCCUACAAGCCUUGUACCCCCGAUCCCCAGAAUUCCAAGAAAGGUGAACAUUGCAGUCCUCCCCCCGGCGGAUUGUAUCUCAAUCGAGGAUGUGCUUACUAGCUAGCUAGCUAGCUCAUGCUGAUCCUCACUCUUCAUCCUCAACUAUGUCAUGAUAUUACUUAUAAAUGCGCGUGUAUUGUAUCUUAAUCGAUUAUGCUAGCUAUCUGGCUCAUGCUGAUCUACGAUAUUCAAUGUUUAAUCUUCAUCCUCAGCUAU